AGCAGUGGGGAAUUUUGGACAAUGGGCGCAAGCCUGAUCCAGCAAUGCCGCGUGAGUGAAGAAGGCCUUCGGGUUGUAAGGCUCUUUUGUCAGGGAAGAAACGGUGAGAGCUAAUAUCUCUUGCUAAUGACGGUACCUGAAGAAUAAGCACCGGCUAACUACGUGCCAGCAGCCGCGGUAAUACGUAGGGUGCAAGCGUUAAUCGGAAUUACUGGGCGUAAAGCGUGCGCAGGCGGUUUUGUAAGUUUGUCGUGAAAGCCCCGGGCUCAACCUGGGAAUUGCGAUGAAGACUGCAAGGCUUGAAUCUGGCAGAGGGGGGUAGAAUUCCACGUGUAGCAGUGAAAUGCGUAGAGAUGUGGAGGAACACCGAUGGCGAAAGCAGCCCCCUGGGCCAAGAUUGACGCUCAUG
rnacentral:rRNA from 1 species